CAGAAUGGGGACUGUAGUAUUUUAUUUACUGUUAUUUUUGUUUAUUUGUUUACUGUUAUAUGUUAACUUGAUACUGAAAUAGUAGUUUGGUUUAGCCUGAGGAUUUUUGAACAAUUUUGGAACUAAUGUAAAAAACAUUUAAAUUGUUUUUUUUUUUUUUUUUUUUUUUUUAAGGGUGGGGGGUGCAUCAAUAAUCAUUUUAUAAUCAAAUCGGAGCCUCUGAAUCGUAAUCGAAUCGUUAGGUGCCCAAAGAUUCCCAGCUCUACUAAUAGUGGCAAUCUACAAAAUUGUCUUUUCUAAAACAACCCCUAAUCGUGGCUUUAGACGUUCUGACAAUAUUGCAGGUGUUAGCAAUGAUUAUAUCAAUCGUAGACCCCAUUUUAUUUAAGUAUAGGAGAGGCAGAAACAUAGAAUGACAACAGUACAACAUCUCUGCCCCUAAACUAUUUUUGUACAACAACCAAAAAUAACUAUGAAUUUAAAAUAUUCAAAAGGGCCCACAGGAUCAAGAUUUGAAGCACACCUGACGAGAUAUCUGACAGGCGUUGCAAUCAUCAAGACAUGUUUCCUGGACCCAGUCAGUGUCUGAAGCUAACAUUAGCAACCACGCAAAUUAAGCAUCUACGUGUUCACCUAUCACAGUUCCGAUACCUACCCUGGGAAAAUAGCAACAACGGCCAUGUCAAUAUAACAUGACAAAGCUUAGUUUGACAAAAGAAAAUGGCUGACUGGAAGGAAAGUCACUCUUUUGACUUACUUGUUAGCCUAUCACACCCACUGACGUUAGCUAAGCGUUGACCUACACGUAAGACUCGCACGAGAUACGGCGGGUUAUAAAAUAUUAAAUACAAUGCAUGUCAAACAAACACCGAGCACUUACAUGUUAAAAUUAGACGGAGAAUUUUCAGAAGGAGCAACAGUCCUCCCCAAUCAUGCCGGGGGUCAAGAUUAAAUUAAAGUCACAACCGGAAACAAAUGGGCGACCCGCAUUCUAUUUCCGGGUGAGUUAUUGCGUUAGAAAAAAACGACGAGGGGGCAAGUGAUAAAAUGUUGCCGCACUGUACAUUGUGUACAGUAUGUAUGUAUGUAUGUACGUUUUUGUCGUCUGACACACAGUGGCGGUCUUGGCAAUUUUGGGGCCUAAGGCGAACAUAUCCAGGGGCCCUCCUCAUGGGUCAAGUGUUGAAAAGUGAUGCUGCAGAAGCUCCUCCUUUCUCCAUGAUCUCCUCCCUGAUGGCAGCCCAGGACUUGCGCUCCAAAGCAGAGAGGCUGCAAAUGGCCAAAGCGUUGUUCUGCUUUCCUGUGCUGGCCUGGUCCACCACCUUUAACAACUGGUUGUAGAUAUCAUUGAAGGAUCGAGCAAAUGAUGGCCCACCGGUGCUGGAACGCUGUAAUAUGUCAACCGGGAACACUCCGCCAACACAGGUUCUUGCCAGGAAUUCGUGUGGCAGCAAAAACCUCUGAUUGUUGAGUCUGUUCCAUCGGCACGUCACCUUCCAGUAUCUUUGGCUCGCUGUACAACUUUGCUGCAGCCCAAAGCAAAGCAGCUGCUCUUGUUAACUGGUUGCAUCCCUCUGAUUUGGAUGGUAGAAGGACAACUGGGAGGGCUGUGGCAGUUGACAAGGGGUCCGCACAUGACAACAGACUUUUCUUGAACUGCUCGGUCACCCAAUUCUCUUGGCCUGCUGCACUAGAUGCUAACUUUUGCUGGGUCUCUUCAAGAUGGGGCCUCUGCUUCUCCAGCGUGCUUUUGAAGUCAGCAUACAGAUCAGGACUCGAAGUGAGCUGUAGAACACGACAAACUUCCUGCAAGGUCACAUCCAGCUCUGGAACAGGGUAGUCAAGAAGAGCCAUUCUGUUGAAAUUUUGGAAGCUGGGGAGAGAAGUGGACUUGUUUAUUCUGGACAUUCUAAUGCAUUAUGUGUGAAAAUGUAGUAAAAUAAAUAAUUAUGCUUGCAUGAAAAGGUAAAAUGUUCAUGGAGAUUUGACCCACAGGUUAGGCCAUCCCUUUACUCUAGAAAAAUCUUAUCGAACCCCGCCAAAGAAAAUGCCACAAAAGUGUGAAUAAUGAAAACAUAUAUAACCUUAUCAUGAUUUAUCAUUAUUCUUAUUAUAAUUUUUGGACUUACUCAAUGUGAAAAUCCCGCAAGCACCCCUGAUGGUCUUUGAAAACCAAUCCAAGAAAUGGCUCAGUUUAAAGAAACCCAGUUUUUAUCCUUAAUGCUAAUUAAUUUUUACUUCUCCAUGAAUGUGGAAUUGUGUGUCUUUUGAAUUGAUAUACUUCUCAUGAUGAUUUACUGUACUGUUUAUUCAAAAUAUUUUUAAGAAGCUUCUAUUAGCCUCCUAUCUGUGUAGUGGUAUUCAGUGUAAUCAUAUUGAAAAUAAGAUUAUCGUAAUGAAAAAAGAUUAAACUAUCAGCAAAUCCGAUAUUGUCAGUUUUGUCAGGUUUGCAUUCAGGU